rnacentral:rRNA from 1 species
GACGGAGGGUGCAAGCGUUGUUCGGAAUCACUGGGCGUAAAGGGCGCGCAGGCGGUUUGGUAAGUCAGAUGUGAAAGCCCACGGCUUAACUGUGGAAGUGCAUUUGAUACUGCCAGACUUGAGUACCAGAGGGGAAAGUGGAAUUCCCGGUGUAGAGGUGAAAUUCGUAGAUAUCGGGAGGAAUACCGGUGGCGAAGGCGACUUUCUGGCUGAGUACUGACGCUGAGUCGCGAAAGCGUGGGAGCAAACAGG